GUCGCUUCUCGGCCUUUUGGCUAAGAUCAAGUGUAGAAAGUGAUCUGAAAUCCAAAGAUUUGUACACAAAGAUAAUGAAAAUAAUAUUAUUUAUAAUAACAGACAUUAA
rnacentral:snRNA from 1 species